rnacentral:rRNA from 1 species
AACGAACGCUGGCGGCAUGCCUAACACAUGCAAGUCGAACGAAACCUUCGGGUCUAGUGGCGCACGGGUUCGUAACGCGUGGGAACCUUCCCUUAGGUUCGGAAUAACUCCCCGAAAGGGGUGCUAAUACCGGAUAAUGUCUUCGGACCAAAGAUUUAUCGCCUUUGGAUGGGCCCGCGUUGGAUUAGCUAGUUGGUAGGGUAAAAGCCUACCAAGGCGACGAUCCAUAGCUGGUCUGAGAGGAUGAUCAGCCACACUGGGACUGAGACACGGCCCAGACUCCUACGGGAGGCAGCAGUGGGGAAUAUUGGACAAUGGGCGAAAGCAUGAUCCAGCAAUGCCGCGUGAGUGAUGAAGGCCUUAGGGUUGUAAAGCUCUUUUAACCGGGAUGAUAAUGACAGUACCGGGAGAAUAAGCUCCGGCUAACUCCGUG